rnacentral:tRNA from 1 species
GUAGGCAUAGUUUAAUGAAAAUUUUAGUUUGUGGUACUAACGACAGGGGUUAAAACCCUCUUGCUCACC